rnacentral:rRNA from 1 species
CCUACGGGAGGCAGCAGUGGGGAAUAUUGCACAAUGGGCGAAAGCCUGAUGCAGCGACGCCGCGUGAGGGAUGACGGCCUUCGAGUUGUAAACCUCUUUCAGCAGGGAAGAAGCGAGAGUGACGGUACCUGCAGAAGAAGCGCCGGCUAACUACGUGCCAGCAGCCGCGGUAAUACGUAGGGCGCAAGCGUUGUCCGGAAUUAUUGGGCGUAAAGAGCUCGUAGGCGGCUUGUCACGUCGGGUGUGAAAGCCCGGGGCUUAACCCCGGGUCUGCAUUCGAUACGGGCUAGCUAGAGUGUGGUAGGGGAGAUCGGAAUUCCUGGUGUAGCGGUGAAAUGCGCAGAUAUCAGGAGGAACACCGGUGGCGAAGGCGGAUCUCUGGGCCAUUACUGACGCUGAGGAGCGAAAGCGUGGGGAGCGAACAGGAUUAGAUACCCUGGUAGUCCACGCCGUAAACGGUGGGAACUAGGUGUUGGCGACAUUCCACGUCGUCGGUGCCGCAGCUAACGCAUUAAGUUCCCCGCCUGGGGAGUACGGCCGCAAGGCUAAAACUCAAAGGAAUUGACGG